rnacentral:rRNA from 1 species
AUUGAACGCUGGCGGCAUGCCUUACACAUGCAAGUCGAACGGUAACAGGUCUUCGGAUGCUGGCGAGUGGCGAACGGGUGAGUAAUAUAUCGGAACGUACCCAAGAGUGGGGGAUAACGUAGCGAAAGUUACGCUAAUACCGCAUACGAUCUAUGGAUGAAAGCAGGGGAUCGCAAGACCUUGUGCUCCUGGAGCGGCCG